rnacentral:rRNA from 1 species
AUGUCGUUUCUCCUCCCUUUCUUCCCUGAAGAAGCCCGCAAGAGCAGUGAACCAUGGAGGAUUUGGGGGCUGCUCAGGUUUGGAGCAGCAAACCAUGGAGGAUAUGGGCGCUGCACGAGCUUGGAGCAGCAAGCCAUGGCAACAAAGGUGAUGAUAUUUCCUUGCUGGUUAGACAACAUAUGGGAUAAGGAUGUGUAUGUUGCUGAUUUUGGUGGUUUGGACAUGGAUUUGAGGGUGGAGAAGGGCCACAGGAAGGGUAUUUGGUGGAGGGAGACGUCCAGGACCAGAAGUGUGAAUUAA